GACGUAGGGCGCGAGCGUUGUCCGGAUUUAUUGGGCGUAAAGAGCUCGUAGGCGGCUUGUUGCGUCGACUGUGAAAACCCACGGCUCAACCGUGUGGUCUGCAGUCGAUACGGGCAGGCUAGAAUUCGGUAGGGGAGACUGGAAUUCCUGGUGUAGCGGUGAAAUGCGCAGAUAUCAGGAGGAACACCGGUGGCGAAGGCGGGUCUCCGGGCCGAUAUUGACGCUGAGGAGCGAAAGCGUGGGGAGCGAACAGG
rnacentral:rRNA from 1 species